rnacentral:rRNA from 1 species
UGAGGAACAUGACCUUCGGCGGGGGAUAGCCGGCCCAACGGCCGGGUAAUACCGCGUACGACCACUCGGGGACAUCCCCAGGUGGUGAAAGCAGCAAUGCGCCGAUGGAGUGCCUCGCGGCCUAUCAGCUAGUUGGUGAGGUAACGGCUCACCAAGGCGACGACGGGUAGCUGGUCUGAGAGGAUGGCCAGCCCACUAGUUGGGACUGAGACACGGCCCAGACCUCCGUACGGGAGCAG